ACGGGAGGCAGCAGUGGGGAAUAUUGCACAAUGGGCGAAAGCCUGAUGCAGCAACGCCGCGUGAGGGAAGACGGUUUUCGGAUUGUAAACCUCUGUCUUUGGUGAAGAAGAAGUGACAUUAGCCGAGGAGGAAGCCACGGCUAACUACGUGCCAGCAGCCGCGGUAAUACGUAGGUGGCAAGCGUUGUCCGGAUUUACUGGGUGUAAAGGGAGCGCAGGCGGGGAAACAAGUCAGCUGUGAAAACUACGGGCUUAACCUGUAAACUGCAGUUGAAACUGUUUUUCUUGAGUGAAGUAGAGGUAGGCGGAAUUCCGAGUGUAGCGGUGAAAUGCGUAGAGAUUCGGAGGAACACCAGUGGCGAAGGCGGCCUACUGGGCUUUAACUGACGCUGAGGCUCGAAAGUGUGGGGAGCAAACAGGAUUAGAUACCCUGGUA
rnacentral:rRNA from 1 species